GGCGAGUGANGCGGCAACAGCUCAAAUUUGAAAGCUAGCCUUCGGGUUCGCAUUGUAAUUUGUAGAGGAUGAUUUGGGGAAGCCGCCUGUCUAAGUUCCUUGGAACAGGACGUCAUAGAGGGUGAGAAUCCCGUAUGUGACAGGAAAUGGCACCCUAUGUAAAUCUCCUUCGACGAGUCGAGUUGUUUGGGAAUGCAGCUCUAAAUGGGAGGUAAAUUUCUUCUAAAGCUAAAUAUUGGCGAGAGACCGAUAGCGCACAAGUAGAGUGAUCGAAAGAUGAAAAGCACUUUGGAAAGAGAGUUAAAAAGCACGUGAAAUUGUUGAAAGGGAAGCGCUUGCAAUCAGACUUGUUUAAACUGUUCGGCCGGUCUUCUGACCGGUUUACUCAGUUUGGACAGGCCAGCAUCAGUUUCGGCGGCCGGAUAAAGGCUCUGGGAAUGUGGCCUCCACUUCGGUGGAGGUGUUAUAGCCCAGGGUGUAAUACGGCCAGCCGGGACUGAGGUCCGCGCUUCGGCUAGGAUGCUGGCGUAAUGGUUGUAAGCGACCCGUCUUGNAACACG
rnacentral:rRNA from 1 species